rnacentral:rRNA from 1 species
CCUACGGGUGGCAGCAGUGGGGAAUAUUGGACAAUGGGCGAAAGCCUGAUCCAGCCAUGCCGCGUGUGUGAAGAAGGCCUUCGGGUUGUAAAGCACUUUCAGUGGGGAAGAAAGCCUUGGGGCUAAUACCCUCGAGGAAGGACAUCACCCACAGAAGAAGCACCGGCUAACUCCGUGCCAGCAGCCGCGGUAAUACGGAGGGUGCGAGCGUUAAUCGGAAUUACUGGGCGUAAAGCGCGCGUAGGCGGUCUGAUAAGCCGGUUGUGAAAGCCCCGGGCUCAACCUGGGAACGGCAUCCGGAACUGUCAGGCUAGAGUGCAGGAGAGGAAGGUAGAAUUCCCGGUGUAGCGGUGAAAUGCGUAGAGAUCGGGAGGAAUACCAGUGGCAAAGGCGGCCUUCUGGACUGACACUGACGCUGAGGUGCGAAAGCGUGGGUAGCAAACAGGAUUAGAUACCCGGGUAGUC